CGGAGUUAGCCGAUGCUUAUUCCUCAGGUACCGUCAAAAUUCUUCCCUGAGAAAAGAGGUUUACAAUCCAAGAACCUUCCUCCCUCACGCGGUAUUGCUCCGUCAGGCUUUCGCCCAUUGCGGAAAAUUCCCC
rnacentral:rRNA from 1 species